rnacentral:ncRNA from 2 species
AUGUAUGAUAGAGGUGCAGUUUUCAAUAGUAUGCUUACGGAGAAGUUUGGGCUUUGGUGAUGUAAGUUGAAAGGGUAAACUGCCGAAGAGUAAAUUUUCCCAAUAAAAAUUUACUCUGGUCAUUCGGUUAAUAGCCGCAUGACUGUCAUCAAGUUAUUUGAUGGAGCGCUAUCAGUUCA